rnacentral:ncRNA from 1 species
AUCAAGGGAGUAGCAGACGGGUUUACCCGUGAUUGUAUCGUCACUACGGAAUUUCGAUUUCCGGUGCAAUCUGAAACAGCGAGACUUGUUUAACUAAAUUAAACAGGUCUUUUUAU